rnacentral:rRNA from 1 species
CACUCCUACGGGAGGCAGCAGUGGGGAAUUUUGGACAAUGGGCGAAAGCCUGAUCCAGCAAUGCCGCGUGAGUGAAGAAGGCCUUCGGGUUGUAAAGCUCUUUUGUCAGGGAAGAAACGGUGAAAGCUAAUAUCUUUUGCUAAUGACGGUACCUGAAGAAUAAGCACCGGCUAACUACGUGCCAGCAGCCGCGGUAAUACGUAGGGUGCAAGCGUUAAUCGGAAUUACUGGGCGUAAAGCGUGCGCAGGCGGUUUUGUAAGUCUGAUGUGAAAUCCCCGGGCUCAACCUGGGAAUUGCAUUGGAGACUGCAAGGCUAGAAUCUGGCAGAGGGGGGUAGAAUUCCACGUGUAGCAGUGAAAGGCGUAGAUAUGUGGAGGAACACCGAUGGCGAAGGCAGCCCCCUGGGUCAAGAUUGACGCUCAUGCACGAAAGCGUGGGGAGCAAACAGGAUUAGAAACCCGAGUAGUCCCAUGAU